UACAUAUCAUGUAUGUAUCGUUUAGAAAGGACAUGCCUAAUGCUACCAUAUAUAUCAUGUAUCUUUUAAAUAACUUCCUUCCACAAGGCACAACUUUACGUCUCAAAUAUUACUCUAAUUUCCCUAGCAACACAAUUGUUAGCUAAAUAAAUCUAUAAGCCAGUUUUUGGUUUUAGGCCCUAUGAUUUGCUUUUUAGGCUUAUUGAAAGAGAAUUCACUUUUUUUAGACAAUUUGGCUCAUUAAUCCGCUGUGAUUUCAACAAUCGGUUUAUGUUAGUCAUUAUCCUCCUUAUCAAUAGCAUGUGAAGUAAAAGAUGCAUUUCGACCAAUUUAGCAUGAAUCAUAAGAGCUCAAAUUAAUGCCGAUGAAGAAAAAUCUUAUUCAAGCACUGAAUUCAUUUCAACUAUUGGUUCUUUUGUUUGGAUUCCGAAUAUUCUAGUUUGAUUUUAUUUUUUUGUUGAAAUAAUCAACUAGUUUGAUUUUUUUUUUGUUGAAAUAAUCAACUAGUUUGAUUCAAUAUAUGUUAUAUAUCGUGUUGUUACAUGUCUAAUUUUGCCAUAUUACACAUGUAAUAAUAUAUGUUAGUGUUUAAUCUACAAUUAUGUGUAAUAUUAUGAUAUGAUUGUGUAAUUUAUUGAAAUUAUGUAUUGAGGGUUACUAUA